AUUGAACGCUGGCGGCAGGCCUAACACAUGCAAGUCGAGCGAGCGGCGGACGGGUGAGUAAUGUAUGGGGACUGCCCGAUAGCGGGGGAUCACUACUGGAAACGGUGGCUAAUACCGCAUACUGUCGUAUAACCCAUAUGGGAUUAGCUAGUCGUUAAGGUAAUGGCUGACCUAGGCGACGAUCCCUAGCUGGUCUGAGAGGAUGAUCAGCAACACUGGGACUGAGACACGGCCCCGACUCCUACGGAGGCAGCAGUGGGGAAUAUUGCACAAUGGGCGCAAGCCUGAUGCAGCCAUGCCGCGUGUAUGAAGAAGGCCCUAGGGUUGUAAAGUACUUUCAGUCGGGAGGCGUUACCGACAGAAGAAGCACCGGCUAACUCCGUGCCAGCAGCCGCGGUAAUUC
rnacentral:rRNA from 1 species